GGAAAAUAUAAAUAAGUGUUCUUAUUGGACAAAUUCCAUAAACAGUCUGACCCUUGUCCCUCUCACUUCCCCAUGACUUUGACCUCUGCCACCCAGGAGCUGUUUGGGUGUCGCUGUGAUGAGGACGUCACUGGGGACAAGCCCUACAAGAUCUUGAGAAAAGAGGACAUCGUGCAGGACAUGAGGAUUAGGGCGGCUGUGUCUGAUUAGGGCGGCUGUGAUUAGGGCGGCUGUGCCCACCAGAUGGUGCUGGACUACCCUUAGGAUGAGCUCCUCCUGGUCUACGGCAGGGACUUAAUCUACGUAUCCAGCUUCUACCUGCUUCUAAAAGUGGAAGCAAAGGACAGGCACCUAAAGGGGACAGUGCUAGUAACAGUGGCUUGACUGCGGCUGGUGCUGUUCCCCUAGUCCAUGGACCUCUCCGACACCUGAAGGACUGGGGACGAAGGAAAGGUAACAGUCUAGUCCCCCCGGACCCUCUGAGCCACCUUCACCACUCAUAUCACCCUCAAUCCCUCCACCAAGACAGUUCAGGGGGCCACCAGGCAGUCAGUGGUGAGGCAUGCCAAGACCUGUGAACAGCCAAGAACCACCGAAUAACAUAAACUACCCGCCAGAAGCCCUCAACCCCAGUAACCCAUCACCAUGACCCUGAAAAUACCAUCAGAACAGAAAGACACACUCCAGAUGGCUGUUCAUGUUUACAUCCCCACUAGGGAAUCCAUCCAUAGAUACCACAAGGUACGUAGAGAGAACUGCCCCCACGGAUGCACUCACACUGAACACCCUUCCCACCUGUUUGUGAGUGCUCCGUGGCCAGGUGGGUCUAAGCCCUGUUUAUUCCCUCUGUCCUCCAGCGUCCAGCCUUUGCACUUCCUCCAGCACCAGUCCCAGCAUCAACUCAGUUCCCGGUUUCCAGUACCAGACCACGAAACGAGACACAGACCUUCACUUCACAGAUUGUUCUUCCUCCCCUCUACAGACCCGGUACCCAGCCAUGGUUACCAGCCCCUUCGUCAACCCUGGACACAGCAUUGGCCACCACAACUGCCACCUCCACCCAGCCACUGAAUAUACAUUUUUCUAUGGUGUUCAUCAUUUUUUUCA
rnacentral:lncRNA from 1 species